rnacentral:rRNA from 1 species
UCCUUAGAUGUUCUGGGCCGCACGCGCGCUACACUGAUGCAUUCAACGAGUCUAUCCUUGACCGACAGGUCCGGGUAAUCUUUGAAUCUGCAUCGUGACGGGGAUAGAUUAUUGCAAUUAUUAAUCUUCAACGAGGAAUGCCUAGUAGGCGCAAGUCAUCAGCUUGCGUCGAUUACGUCCCUGCCCUUUGUACACACCGCCCGUCGCUCCUACCGAUUGGGUGUGCUGGUGAAAUGUUCGGAUCGGCCGUUUGUCGCGGUUUCCGCGGCUCGUGGCUGAGAAGUUCAUUAAACCCUCCCACCUAGAGGAAGGAGAAGUCGUAACA